AUUGAACGCUGGCGGCAUGCCUUACACAUGCAAGUCGAACGGUAACAGGUCUUCGGAUGCUGACGAGUGGCGAACGGGUGAGUAAUACAUCGGAACGUGCCUAGUAGUGGGGGAUAACUACUCGAAAGAGUGGCUAAUACCGCAUGAGAUCUACGGAUGAAAGCAGGGGAUCGCAAGACCUUGUGCUACUAGAGCGGCCGAUGGCAGAUUAGGUAGUUGGUGGGAUAAAAGCUUACCAAGCCGACGAUCUGUAGCUGGUCUGAGAGGACGAUCGGGCACACUGGGAAUGAGACACGGCACAGACUCCUACGGGAGGCAGCAGUGGGGAAUUUGGGACAAUGGGCGAAAGCCUGAUCCAGCAAUGCCGCGUGCAGGAUGAAGGCCUUCGGGUUGUAAACUGCUUUUGUACGGAACGAAAAGCCCCGGGUUAAUACCCUGGGGUCAUGACGGUACCGUAAAAAUAAGCACCGGCUAACUACGUGCCAGCCGCCGCGGUAA
rnacentral:rRNA from 1 species